AAUUAUUAACCAGUUUCGGUGAUUAUGGAACAUUUUUUGGUAAUUAUUGAGCAUUUUCGAUGAUAUUUGAUUUUUUUUUUUGCUAAUUAUGGAAACUCUUUGGUGAUUAUGGAAGUUUUUUUUUGCUAAUUAUGGAACAUUUUAAGUGCCAUAAAAUUGCCAGACAUUUCUAACACAGCCGAGCUGGACUUACCCAUACGAUGGAAUGCAACUCUCUAAUUUAUAAAUCACUUUGAAGACCAACUGAAGUCUAAACUGGCACAUAGCCAUGCCACACUCUGAACGCUGAAUAUGGAUGGCAUGCAGGUAGUGCAUUUUAAUCCUGCAUUAACAGAGGACCUUACCAAAUGGAAGAACACAACCCGUCAUGGCUAAAAGUAGCAACAGCUCCGAAUCCCAGAUUCAAAGACCUCAGGUGCCUGCGCAGAGAAGAGGGGAAGAUGAGUGGUAAAAGCUGAAGGACAGAGAACCUGCUUCACGGGAAAUGGAUCCAAAGCCACCAAAGAAGAAGAUGGCCCUCCCACUGAUGGAGUCCGAGUGUGGUGAUGAGACACUGUCCACAGAAACAACUCUGGACAGGAAUAGAGCAGAGCCCGGUGUCAGCUUGGAGGCAUGUCCACUACCGUGGUGGUAGGCACUCACAGGUGCCCAUAGUGAGCUGGCCCAUAUUGCACAAAGAUACUUGGCUACACUUGCCACCACAGUGCCAUGCGAGGGUCUGUUUUCUUUGGCAGGCAACACUGUGCAGAAGAAGAGGUCAGCUCUGUCAUCUGUAAAUGUCAACAAGCUAGUCCGCCUGAGCGACGGGUUGAAAUAAAAGUCUUCACAAACUGAUUACCUGCACAAGUUCACGCUGUUUCAAGUAAUCUUACAAGUAAUCAACUAACGGCCUUUGCACACAAAGUCCAUAUUUUUUGCAUUUGUUUUUUAAUGUGUAAUAAAAAUCCUAUCGAACAGAAA